UGAACAGACACACUAAUAGAUUCUUAUUCAGUACGUCGCAGAUGCGGCAAACUUUCAAUUCAGCGUUUACAAAACCGAAAUGUUGCGUUGUACGAAUUUUUAUGCGGCGAAUGGUUGGCGCAUAAAUGCCGGAAAUCUGUUUGAAAAAAGCUUGUCGCUUGACUGAAUCGAAGAAUGGGACAAGAAAAGUACUUACGCCGACAUAAGAAUCGUCGAGAGGUUUUCGCUUAUCGUUGCGAUUAGUUGAUCCUAGACCCAAGGACGUCCAAGAUGUAGACCAUCGUACAGAAUCUUUACCUGGAGUGUCGCCGCCGGAUGCCAUAGAUACCACGCCUUCUCGAGUUCGAUUAGCCGUCGACACGGUGACAUCCUUGAAACACGGAUUGUCGAAGGCAUAGGCUUCUUCAACGAUCUCUGGGUCCGUUACGAGUACCAGAUGUUUCCCUGAACAAAUUUUUGUUAAGCAUUUAUUUUCUACUUGAACUCGCUAGAAAGAUCCUUAGACUGUGAAUUUUUCUAUUGUCUUAAUUUCUAUCGUCUCUGUCUCUCUUACAAUUUUUACUACAUUUUUAUCCAAUUUUUACUACUUAUGGUUGAAGUACGUUUAAAAGUUUUCAGCUGAAUAAUGUAGGUAACAAAGAAUGGUUAAUAAAAAUUACUGGAAUUAAUGACUA